UUAAAUUUUUGUAAAAUUAAAUUGUAAGUUGGUCUGCAAGUUAGUGAAUAGUUGUCCGUUAUUAGAUCAUCAAGGUCCGCCUAUUCUCUGUAUAAGUUGCGGUAUGGACACUUUUCAACUUCAGUGGUUGUGUCUAGUCUGUCGCUGACGUCCUCGUUGUUUUAUCUUGCGAAACUACAAUUACAGAGACAAGAAGUCUGGAAUAGUUCGAACUGGUGGAAACAUUAAAUAUCAGCAUUGGUUCAAAGGUACUAUUCCGAUCGGGAGGAACGACCAGCUCGAUGCAUUGCUUUAUUUGCAUAUUUUGUGAUUAGUUUUGUUCUUGUUUUUUUUUUUCUUCGCCACCCCUUGGGGUGAUGUAAAUUGUUACAACAAAUUAUGAUACGAUCGAAAACCUUA